CCAUUUUUAAAAAUAUAUAUUUUGAUAUAAUAUAAGUGCUAAAGUGCACGUUACUGAAGGUAAGUACAAUGUCCUGUAUACCAGCAGUUAUUAUUUUUUUGUGGUCAAGACCAUUGAGACCACGUUGCCAAAUACAAAAUAUCUUCCUCCAUUUUUCUCGACCGUUCGCUAUACCUCAGGUCAACCCGAAUUUCAAUAAUAUGUUUGACUUAUGAGAAGUUUGCAAAGUCCUUCUUGAAGCAUUCACCCCAAAUCGAAUUGUGGUCUUUCGUGUUGCAUUUUAC